AUUGAACGCUGGCGGCAGGCCUAACACAUGCAAGUCGAGCGGAUGAAGGGAGCUUGCUCCUGGAUUCAGCGGCGGACGGGUGAGUAAUGCCUAGGAAUCUGCCUGGUAGUGGGGGAUAACGUCCGGAAACGGGCGCUAAUACCGCAUAUGUCCUGAGGGAGAAAGUGGGGGAUCUUCGGACCUCACGCUAUCAGAUGAGCCUAGGUCGGAUUAGCUAGUUGGUGGGGUAAAGGCCUACCAAGGCGACGAUCCGUAACUGGUCUGAGAGGAUGAUCAGUCACACUGGAACUGAGACACGGUCCAGACUCCUACGGGAGGCAGCAGUGGGGAAUAUUGGACAAUGGGCGAAAGCCUGAUCCAGCCAUGCCGCGUGUGUGAAGAAGGUCUUCGGAUUGUAAAGCACUUUAAGUUGGGAGGAAGGGCAGUAAGUUAAUACCUUGCUGUUUUGACGUUACCAACAGAAUAAGCACCGGCUAACUUCGUGCCAGCAGCCGCAGUAA
rnacentral:rRNA from 1 species